UGAAAAUCGGAUGCAUGAACCUCAAUUUGCAAACAUCUAACCUUGUUCAGUAAAGUGGUAUGACAUAGAUGGGAAACAACGGGUCACAAGGAUAGCAUGGAAGACAACACCUCUAUGGAAAAAGGUUAUGUAAAUCCUCAAUUUAGGCGACUUGGAGAAUCGGAGCGAGCGCUGUUCAUGUUAUGUCAUACCAAACGCUUCCGCUAG
rnacentral:lncRNA from 1 species